rnacentral:lncRNA from 1 species
AAAAUACCGGCCCAAGAAGUGCAUUUCAGAUAAAAUAAACACAAGGUGCACUUAUGUGAUGCACAUACGCUUGUGGGGUGGGGGCGCCGACGAACAGGGGGUAGUAACUAAGGAGAAACGGGAACUUAAACGACAGAAAGGGGAAAUAGCACCGUUGUCACGAUUAUCUUGAAAGUUUCCGCCACUAUUAAGUUAGCGUCACAAAGAUCCUCUGAAGCGAUUCAGUGACAAAACGAUUUUUUGAGAGAACCUAGCAUCGACGUGUGCCGAUCGGUCACGUCGUCUGUCCCUUUCCGAGCGUACUUCUCUUUCUUGCCGAGGCGUGCCCCGUGCGUCCAUGGUGGGCCGGUAACCGGUGGCUGAAACCUCGGGGAGCAACGAGCCACCGCGACAGGCGUGCACCUAGGCACCUGGAGUACAAACCCCGCUCUCGAUGUCGCCGGGCGUCGUCGUGCACAGCGAUCCCUUCUCCCCGUCCCCCGUAUGCCCCUGCACAGUAAACAUAAUUCCACCCCUAAUGUUGCUAAAUUGUCCCAUGGCUGACGCCUUUCACCCGUAAGGCCAUAAAAAAAAUUACUGUUCAUGACAGUGAGCUACCACACACGACGGCGAACGAGUUUUAACAUGAUAGCUUUGAAAGUUCAUUUCAUGCAGUCUUCGUGUCGUCUGUUUACUGUUUCAUGCAGUUUUCAGUGUCUUUUAAUCUCGUGUCUUCAUUGUUACUUUCCCCCACAAAUUGCUAUAAAAAAAUAAAACUUCAUGUGUUUCCGUCAAUGAUUCGAAUGGCUUUAGCCAUGGGACAAACCGGAACUCUUAAGGGUGCAGAAAUGUUUGCUGAGUACCUUCCAGCGUUCACCGCAAUCCCGGAAAGGCACCCCAAAUGUGCGUCCUGU